AUUGAACGCUGGCGGCAGGCCUAACACAUGCAAGUCGAGCGAGCGGCGGACGGGUGAGUACUGUCUGGGAAACUGCCUGAUGGAGGGGGAUAACUACUGGAAACGGUAGCUAAUACCGCAUACCAUCUGAUGUCCCCAGAUGGGAUUAGCUAGUGGGUGGGGUAACGGCCCACCUAGGCGACGAUCCCUAGCUGGUCGGAGGGGAUGACCAGCCACACUGGAACUGAGACACUGUCCAGACUCCUACGGGAGGGAGCAGUGGGGAAUAUUGCACAAUGGGCGCAAGCCUGAUGCAGCCAUGCCGCGUGUGUGAAGAAGGCCUUCGGGUUGUAAAGCACUUUCAGCGGGGAAGCGUUACCCGCCGAAGAAGCACCGGCUAACUCCGUGCCAGCAGCCGCGGUAAUAC
rnacentral:rRNA from 1 species